rnacentral:rRNA from 1 species
CCUACGGGAGGCAGCAGUAGGGAAUUUUCGUCAAUGGGCGCAAGCCUGAACGAGCAAUGCCGCGUGAACGAGGAAGGUCUUCGGAUCGUAAAGUUCUGUUGAAGGGGAAAAAGAGCGGAGAGAGGAAAUGGUCUCCGAUUGAUAUUACCCUUCGAGGCAGUCACGGCUAACUACGUGCCAGCAGCCGCGGUAAUACGUAGGUGGCGAGCGUUAUCCGGAAUGAUUGGGCGUAAAGGGUGCGUAGGCGGCCUGCUAAGUCUGGAGUGAAAGGUACCGGCUCAACCGGUACAGGCUCUGGAAACUGGCGGGCUAGAGAGCAGGAGAGGGCGGUGGAACUCCAUGUGUAGCGGUAAAAUGCGUAGAUAUAGGGAAGAACACCAGUGGCGAAGGCGGCCGCCUGGCCUGUGACUGACGCUGAGGCACGAAAGCGUGGGGAGCAAAUAGGAUUAGAUACCCUAGUAGUC